GGUUCGUUAGUCUAAUGGUUAAGAUGUCACUCUUUUACCCUUUCGAGAGUGGAGAUACAAGUUCAAGUCUUGUACGGGUCG
rnacentral:tRNA from 1 species